AUCUAUGGCAACAUGUGUGGAGGAGAUGCCACAAUUCUAGUGGCAGUGAAAGCGGCAUCCAGACUGAAAAAUAUGUCAAAUCAAAGAGCGGUGGCGACUCUCCGAAUAAUAUUGGCAGCAAUGAUGAGGAUGACAAUGGGAUAGUUGGCUUGAACGUAAGCGACGGGAGUGAUAAUGGAAGUGGAACUCAGAAUUCCUGGACAAAACGGCCAGUUGAAGUAGAGAGCCUACCACUUCUGUCUCCAUCAGAUCAGCCGGCUGAUCAACAUGAUAGUCUCUGUGCACAGAUAACUCCUCCUGAGACCGAGGCCAUCUGCAAAGGAUGGGUGCCUAUGACUGACAAUAGCGAGUAUAAAGAGCAUAAUGAAAUUGCUGAUGUUUACAUGGGCAAAGACUUAGAGAUAGGAGUACCUAUGAAUCCAGGCCCACAACAUGAAUCUUA
rnacentral:misc_RNA from 1 species